GUGAGUAGUUCAGAGUUUGAUCCUGGCUCAGGACGAACGCUGGCGGCGUGCCUAACACAUGCAAGUCGAACGGGACUUAGUGGAAAGCGGCUUCGGCCAAUGGAAAUUAAGUUUAGUGGCGAACGGGUGAGUAACGCGUGAGAAACCUGCCUUUCAGUGGGGGACAACAGUUGGAAACGACUGCUAAUACCGCAUAAUGUAUUCGGGGGGCAUCCUCCGAAUACCAAAGCUUUAUGUGCUGAAAGAUGGUCUCGCGUCUGAUUAGCUAGAUGGCGGGGUAACGGCCCACCAUGGCGACGAUCAGUAGCCGGUCUGAGAGGAUGAACGGCCACAUUGGGACUGAGAUACGGCCCAG
rnacentral:rRNA from 1 species